rnacentral:tRNA from 2 species
GCGAAAGUGGCGGAAUGGUAGACGCGCUGGUCUUAGGAACCAGUGGCUUCGGCCGUGGGGGUUCGAAUCCCCCCUUUCGCA